rnacentral:tRNA from 1 species
GUGCUUGUAGCUCAGUUGGUAGAGCAGCGGCCUUUUAAGUCGCGGGUCGUGGGUCCAAGCCCCACCGGGCACA